rnacentral:rRNA from 1 species
GAUGAACGCUGGCGGCGUGCCUAAUACAUGCAAGUCGAGCGAACAGACGAGGAGCUUGCUCCUUUGACGUUAGCGGCGGACGGGUGAGUAACACGUGGAUAACCUACCUAUAAGACUGGGAUAACUUCGGGAAACCGGAGCUAAUACCGGAUAACAUGUUGAACCGCAUGGUUCAACAGUGAAAGACGGUCUUGCUGUCACUUAUAGAUGGAUCCGCGCCGCAUUAGCUAGUUGGUAAGGUAACGGCUUACCAAGGCAACGAUGCGUAGCCGACCUGAGAGGGUGAUCGGCCACACUGGAACUGAGACACGGUCCAGACUCCUACGGGAGGCAGCAGUAGGGAAUCUUCCGCAAUGGGCGAAAGCCUGACGGAGCAACGCCGCGUGAGUGAAGAAGGUCUUCGGAUCGUAAAACUCUGUUAUUAGGGAAGAACAAAUGUGUAAGUAACUAUGCACGUCUUGACGGUACCUAAUCAGAAAGCCACGGCUAACUACGUGCCAGCAGCCGCGGUAAUACGUAGGUGGCAAGCGUUAUCCGGAAUUAUUGGGCGUAAAGCGCGCGUAGGCGGUUUUUUAAGUCUGAUGUGAAAGCCCACGGCUCAACCGUGGAGGGUCAUUGGAAACUGGAAAACUUGAGUGCAGAAGAGGAAAGUGGAAUUCCAUGUGUAGCGGUGAAAUGCGCAGAGAUAUGGAGGAACACCAGUGGCGAAGGCGACUUCCUGGUCUGUAACUGACGCUGAUGUGCGAAAGCGUGGGGAUCAGACAGGAUUAGAUACCCUGGUAGUCCACGCCGUAAACGAUGAGUGCUAAGUGUUAGGGGGUUUCCGCCCCUUAGUGCUGCAGCUAACGCAUUAAGCACUCCGCCUGGGGAGUACGACCGCAAGGUUGAAACUCAAAGGAAUUGACGGGGACCCGCACAAGCGGUGGAGCAUGUGGUUUAAUUCGAAGCAACGCGAAGAACCUUACCAAAUCUUGACAUCCUCUGACCCCUCUAGAGAUAGAGUUUUCCCCUUCGGGGGACAGAGUGACAGGUGGUGCAUGGUUGUCGUCAGCUCGUGUCGUGAGAUGUUGGGUUAAGUCUCGCAACGAGCGCAACCCUUAAGCUUAGUUGCCAUCAUUAAGUUGGGCACUCUAAGUUGACUGCCGGUGACAAACCGGAGGAAGGUGGGGAUGACGUCAAAUCAUCAUGCCCCUUAUGAUUUGGGCUACACACGUGCUACAAUGGACAAUACAAAGGGUAGCGAAACCGCGAGGUCAAGCAAAUCCCAUAAAGUUGUUCUCAGUUCGGAUUGUAGUCUGCAACUCGACUACAUGAAGCUGGAAUCGCUAGUAAUCGUGGAUCAGCAUGCUACGGUGAAUACGUUCCCGGGUCU